rnacentral:rRNA from 1 species
UACGUAGGGUGCGAGCGUUAAUCGGAAUUACUGGGCGUAAAGCGUGCGCAGGCGGUUUUGUAAGACAGGGGUGAAAUCCCCGGGCUUAACCUGGGAACUGCAUUUGUGACUGGCAGGCUAGGGUAUGGCAGAGGGGGGUAGAAUUCCACGUGUAGCAGUGAAAUGCGUAGAGAUGUGGAGGAAUACCGAUGGCGAAGGCAGCCCCCUGGGCCAAUACUGACGCUCAUGCACGAAAGCGUGGGGAGCAAACAGG